UACGUAGGGUGCAAGCGUUGUCCGGAAUUAUUGGGCGUAAAGAGCUCGUAGGCGGUCUGUUGCGUCGGCUGUGAAAACCCGGGGCUCAACCCCGGGCCUGCAGCCGAUACGGGCAGACUAGAGUUCGGCAGGGGAGACUGGAAUUCCUGGUGUAGCGGUGAAAUGCGCAGAUAUCAGGAGGAACACAAUAGCGAAGGCAGCUCGCUGGGACGGUACUGACGCUGAGGCGCGAAAGCGUGGGGGAGCGAACAGG
rnacentral:rRNA from 1 species